rnacentral:lncRNA from 1 species
UUGAAUACCAAAAAAUAGAAAAUGGUUAACAUCGUGCUCUAAUCUCAUGAGACUCUCUCUCUACUUCUUAGAGAGAGAAUUUUCUCUUGUCGUCCCUCUUCACAAUAACAAAUCUUACAGAGGGAACGAGAGAUUCUUGAGUCUUUUUUGUUUUGUUUUUUGUCUGUAAAAUACUUCGAUCGUUUUGAUCGAUUAUCCUUUCAGCUUGUCGAAAUCACUUUUCGCAUAGGCAAUUUCCUUUCGUUUGGCGGUUCUAGUUUGUUUCGCGAUAGGCAAUUUUGUUGUGUUUAAAAUCCCUCUCACUUUUCUUGAUAUAUUAAUUAUUCCGUUUGAUUUGAGAGGUUUUUAAUCUGCUCGUUGGUUAAGUUUGAUUACUUACUCAAAUGAGGGAUCAAUCUUCGCUACAUGUAUAUUCUGGCGGAGUAUCCAAGCCGGUAUGAAAUUAAGAUGUUUGAUUAAGCAGUGGAAAAUCGAUGCAGAUGUUUAGAUAAGUUGGAGUUCUCUUAUUGAAAACAUUCUGGCAAAACCUUGCCUCUAUCUCCUUGAAGCUUCUCACCGGGAUUAACUCUUGUGCGUAUAGCUGAAAAACUCCAAUAGACCGAUGGGAACACAAAAAGAAAGAGCAAUCAAGCGAUUUAACCUACUCGGAGAAACGUUUUAAGGUUAUAGGUCUGGUCGACUUCUGGCGAUACCAUCGAUGUUCAUCUUCGUCUUUGGACAAAGCUUUACUACAUCAUAGAACACGUGGAGAUUAUGCAUUAAGAACUUCAUCUUUAUUUAACACGUGUUUUCUGUAAUCUUAUAUUUAAACAUGAACAAAUUCUGGACUGAUGUAAUUGAGUUUGGUUGAAUUGUUUGUUUGGGCUUUGAGCCUUUUAAUAUAAAAAGUUA